rfam:Picea glauca, whole genome shotgun sequence.
GUCGUUGUAGUAUAGUGGUAAGUAUUAUCGCCUGUCACGCUUGUGACCCGGGUUCGAUCCCCGGCAACGGCG